GUUUAUAAAGGUAAAUUUAUUAACAUGUGCAGCAGACAGUUACACCAAAACUUGUAAUUGAACACCGUCUUGCGAUCGCAACAUCGCGUAUCGACUUGCGUUCAUUGGAACUGCAGCUAUUCUUAGUAAAGCGAUAAAGAUAAUACCGACUGUACGAGAAACAACGUUUGCAUACUUUCUUUGCAGUCCAAACAAGUGUUCAGUCAUUGUAUUUGUAUGGUAUUGUCAUUCUGAGUCUAACCACCCUUGACUAAAGGUUCAAUUUGAAGCGAUUUUUAUUGUUUUGCUUAAAGAAGUUUCUUUUCUUUAAGCAAAGGAGGUUUCUUUCUUUGGAGGUAUGGCGCUGCAUUUAUUGUUUACGAAGACUUAAAUAUGUAUUUUUGUAAUUGACUUGAUGAAAAAAACACAUCAAAUAGAAUUUCACUAGCUUUUAUAGACUCUACAAUUUUCUCCAUAAUGCAAAAGUAAAGCUCUUCUGAAAAAAGCAAAUAGGUAUUACAGUGUUGAUGAUAUUGUUUUAGGAAGAUUUUGCGAAAGCCGUAGUGGUUUCAUGUUUCAGUGCAGCGAUAGAUAAAGGAGGUUACAACGAUAUGAGUUUGUAUUCGGCUGUUUAAAACUGUACACUAAUCGUGUUAUUAGUAGCAAAUGAAAUCGAACACUGCGCAACAGCGUAUUGGGCAAACUAAACGAAUUAGUUGUUGGGUAAAUACCGCUUCAUUGCUUAUUAGUACAGUCAUUAUUAUAUUCA